rfam:TPA: Bos taurus chromosome 24, whole genome shotgun sequence.
UGGCUCAGAUGGUAAAGCAUCUGCCUGCAAUGCAGGAGACCCAGGUUCGAUCCCUGG